rnacentral:rRNA from 1 species
AGCAGCCGCGGUAAUUCCAGCUCCAAUAGCGUAUAUUAAAGUUGUUGCAGUUAAAAAGCUCGUAGUUGAAUUUCGGGGUUAGUAGGCUGGUCGUGCCACUGGUACGUACUGGUCUCACUGAUUCCUCCUUCCUGAUGAACCGUAAUGCCAUUAAUUUGGUGUUGCGGGGAGACUGGACUGUUACUUUGAAAAAAUUAGAGUGUUUAAAGCAAGCUAACGCUUGAAUACAUUAGCAUGGAAUAAUGAAAUAGGACGUUCGAUCCUAUUUUGUUGGUUUCUAGGAUUGACGUAAUGAUUAAUAGGGAUAGUUGGGGGCAUUAGUAUUCAAUUGUCAGAGGUGAAAUUCUUGGAUUUAUUGAAGACUAACUACUGCGAAAGCAUUUGUCAAGGAUGUUUUCAUUAAUCAAGAACGAAAGUUAGGGGAUCGAAGACGAUCAGAUACCGUCGUAGUCUUAACCAUAAACUAUGCCGACUAGGGAUCGGAUGAUGUUAAUUUUUAAUGACUCAUUCGCGCCUUACG